UACGUAGGGGGCAAGCGUUGUCCGGAAUCAUUGGGCGUAAAGCGCGCGUAGGCGGCCCGGUAAGUCCGCUCUGAAAGUCCAAGGCUCAACCCUGGAAAGCCGGUGGAUACUGUCGGGCUAGAGUCCGGAAGAGGCGAGUGGAAUUCCUGGUGUAGCGGUGGAAUGCGCAGAUAUCAGGAGGAACACCGAUGGCGAAGGCAGCUCGCUGGGACGGUACUGACGCUGAGGCGCGAAAGCGUGGGGAGCGAACAGG
rnacentral:rRNA from 1 species